rnacentral:rRNA from 1 species
UACGUAGGGUGCAAGCGUUAAUCGGAAUUACUGGGCGUAAAGCGUGCGCAGGCGGUUUUGUAAGUCUGAUGUGAAAUCCCCGGGCUCAACCUGGGAAUUGCAUUGGAGACUGCAAGGCUAGAAUCUGGCAGAGGGGGGUAGAAUUCCACGUGUAGCAGUGAAAUGCGUAGAUAUGUGGAGGAACACCGAUGGCGAAGGCAGCCCCCUGGGUCAAGAUUGACGCUCAUGCACGAAAGCGUGGGGAGCAAACG